UUAUUUGAUUUCAUAGCCUUUUAUGGCUAUUGGCUGGUGGCAAAUUGCCACCGGCCU
rnacentral:sRNA from 1 species